rnacentral:rRNA from 1 species
UACAGAGGGGCAAGCGUUGUUCGGAUUCAUUGGCGUAAAGGGUGCGUAGGCGGCGCGGUAAGUCGGGUGUGAAAUCUCGGAGCUUAACUCCGAAACUGCAUUCGAUACUGCCGUGCUUGAGGACUGGAGAGGAGACUGGAAUUUACGGUGUAGCGGUGAAAUGCGUAGAUAUCGUAAGGAAGACCAGUGGCGAAGGCGGGUCUCGUGGACAGUUCCUGACGCUGAGGCACGAAGGUCAGGGGAGCAAACGGG